GAUGAACGCUAGCGGCAGGCUUAAUACAUGCAAGUCGAACGGUAAGUAUUUUAGCAAUAAGAUACGAGAGUGACGUACGGGUGCGUAACACGUAUGCAACCUACCUUGUACAGGAGGAUAGCUCGGGGAAACUCGAAUUAACCCUCCAUAAGAUCGUGGUGAGGCAUCUCACAGCGAUAAAAUCUUAGGAGGUACAAGAUGGGCAUGCGUCUGAUUAGAGUUGGUGCGGGUAACGGCCCACCAAGACGAUGAUCAGUAGGGGACCUGAGAGGGUGAUCCCCACACU
rnacentral:rRNA from 1 species